UACGGGGGGGGCAAGCGUUGUUCGGAAUUACUGGGCGUAAAGGGCGCGUAGGCGGCCAUUCAAGUCGGGGGUGAAAGCCCAGGGCUCAACCCUGGAAUUGCCUUCGAUACUGUUUGGCUAGAGACCGGAAGAGGUAAGUGGAACUGCGAGUGUAGAGGUGAAAUUCGUAGAUAUUCGCAAGAACACCAGUGGCGAAGGCGGCUUACUGGUCCGGUUCUGACGCUGAGGCGCGAAAGCGUGGGGAGCAAACAGG
rnacentral:rRNA from 1 species